rnacentral:rRNA from 1 species
CCUUCGGGAACUCUGACACAGGUGCUGCAUGGCUGUCGUCAGCUCGUGCCGUGAGAUGUUGGGUUAAGUCCCGUAACGAGCGCAACCCUUGUCCUUAGUUACCAGCACGUUAUGGUGGGCACUCUAAGGAGACUGCCGGUGACAAACCGGAGGAAGGUGGGGAUGACGUCAAGUCAUCAUGGCCCUUACGGCCUGGGCUACACACGUGCUACAAUGGUCGGUACAAAGGGUUGCCAAGCCGCGAGGUGGAGCUAAUCCCAUAAAACCGAUCGUAGUCCGGAUCGCAGUCUGCAACUCGACUGCGUGAAGUCGGAAUCGCUAGUAAUCGUGAAUCAGAAUGUCACGGUGAAUACGUUCCCGGGCCUU